UCAGGGUGCAAAGCAUAAAUAAAUAAGCCCGGGUUCCCCGACAACAUCAAGAGGAGCCCCCGGGGUGGGUAUUGGGUCGGAAUCUUCAGUAGAAAGUAUCAGGUCGACAAGAUCUCGGAAUCUUUACCAGUUGGUACAAAUGGCAAAGAGGUGAUGCCGACGGGCCAAGUUUCUGAACAUGGACGGGCAAUUGCACCUCUUCGACUACCGAACUGCGGAGAAAUUUGGUUUCGUAUCGAACGACGGAUUUUCGGAAACAGGGCAGGAGCCACAUAAAAGGAUUUUUUCUGUAAUUUUAUGGUCCAGAAUAAAUCAGGGCCCAGUCCAGACUUUCUGGAGAUAAAUCGACAUCGCCCUUUCAGUAUAAAGCAGUUUUGUCCUU